UACGAAGGGGGCUAGCGUUGCUCGGAAUCACUGGGCGUAAAGCGCACGUAGGCGGGUCUUUAAGUCAGGGGUGAAAUCCUGGAGCUCAACUCCAGAACUGCCUUUGAUACUGAGGAUCUCGAGUCCGGGAGAGGUGAGUGGAACUCCGAGUGUAGGAGGUAGAAAUUCGUAGAUAUUCGGAAGAACACCAGUGGCGAAGGCGGCUCACUGGCCCGGUACUGACGCUGAGGUGCGAAAGCGUGGGGAGCAAACAGG
rnacentral:rRNA from 1 species